CGCUGGAUAAUUCACUCUCCAAUCGAACUGGGGUUGCUUUGCAACAACCAGUUUCGUCUCUCUCGCUAGAGAAAGAAGCACAGAGGGAGAGAGAGAGAGAUGGAUCAUUUUCUAUGGCGGAUAUUACCUCUACUGGCACUUCUUUCUUCCUUUCUCUACUUCUACUUCCAGAAUUCUUCUAAGCUUUUGCAGUUUUCUCACAGUGAUUGCAGCCUUCUUCCAUACAACCAUUACUGGAUAACCAGCAAGAGCAUUGUGACACCUCGCGGGGUCAUUUCUGGUGCAGUUGAGGUGAAGGAAGGGAAUAUUGUAUCCAUAGUUAAGGAAGAAGAUUGGCAGGGAAAUUCCAAGAGGGGACACAUAAUUGAUUAUGGAGAAGCUGUUGUUAUGCCUGGUCUUAUUGACGUGCAUGCACAUCUUGAUGAUCCUGGAAGAGCUGAAUGGGAAGGAUUUCCGUCAGGAACUAAAGCAGCAGCUGCCGGGGGCAUUACAAUGUUGAUUGAUAUGCCUCUGAACAACUUCCCCUCAACUGUUUCUGUGGAAACUCUGAGACUCAAGCUUGAGGCUGCAGAAAAGAAUAUUUAUGUUGAUGUUGGUUUCUGGGGAGGCUUAGUUCCUGAAAAUGCUUUCAAUGCAAGUUCUCUGGAAGCUCUCCUAAGUGCUGGUGUUCUUGGUUUAAAGUCUUUUAUGUGUCCUUCGGGCAUCAACGACUUUCCCAUGACCAAUGCCAGUCAUAUCAAGGAGGGCUUAUCUGUUCUGGCAAAAUUUAGAAGACCUUUACUUGUACAUGCAGAGAUUCAGCAAGAUUCUGAGAACUACUUAGAAGAUGAUGCAAAUGACCCUCGACAUUAUUCAACAUAUCUCAAGACAAGGCCACCAUCAUGGGAGGAGGCAGCUAUUAGAGAGCUUUUGACGCUAUCAAAGGACACAGGGAUUGGUGGUUCUGCUGAAGGAGCUCACCUUCACAUUGUUCAUCUGUCUGAUUCAGGUUCUUCCCUACAACUUCUAAAGCAAGCAAAAAGAAGUGGUGACAGUGUGACUGUUGAGACAUGUCCUCAUUACCUAGCCUUUUCGGCAGAAGAGAUUGAGGAUGGAGAUACGCGUUUUAAAUGUGCUCCACCCAUCCGUAAUGCAGCUAAUAGAGAAGCAUUAUGGAAGGCUUUACUGGAAGGAGAUAUUGACAUGCUAAGUUCUGAUCAUUCACCAACAAUGCCAGAACUUAAACUCCUUAAUGAAGGCAACUUCUUGAAGGCUUGGGGUGGCAUAUCAUCUUUGCAGUUUGUGUUGCCUGUGACAUGGUCAUAUGGGCAAAAAUAUGGAGUAACUUUGGAGCAGUUAGCAUUGUGGUGGAGUGAGAGACCUGCUAAGCUUGUUGGAAAAGAUUCAAAGGGGGCCAUUGAAGUUGGAAAGCAUGCAGAUAUUUUUGUAUGGGAACCUAACACAGACUUUGAUCUCAAUGAUGAUCUUCCCAUAUACAUUAAACAUCCUAGUAUCUCAGCCUACAUGGGAACCAAACUUUCGGGAAAAGUUUUGACAACUUUUGUUAGAGGAAACCUUGUCUACAAAGAAGGAAAGCAUGCUUCUGCUGCUUGUGGUUCUCUCAUCCUCGCAAAAUAAAAGGAUGAACGGGAAAUGUGUCCCACUGAGCGUUGGCAGCUGAGGUAUUUGCCGUCCCCAGAGCUUGGAUUUGAUAAGAUGAUUGAACUACCUGUUUCCAAAAUGAUGAGUCUCAAGUUUUUAUUCAUGAGGUUGUAAGCUUUAAAGGUCAGCAGUUGAAGAUUAUUACAUAUAUAAUUACACAAAAGCAUGCAAGACCAUGCAACUAGAGAUUUUGAAGGUUCUUGUUAUGGGGGGACUGGAAAGGUGAUUGAAGAGAUCAGAGUCUUAAUCACAUUACUCAGUUCUUGAAUUGCAACGGUUGGUCUCCACAGUCGCACGGAGGAGGAGGAGGAGGAAGAUUAAUAUAAAAGCACGGAGGAUGAGGAUGACGACGAACAUUACCACAGCCAGAAUGACCUCCUCCUUCUCCUCCUUCUCCUAUUGGAUCAGGGUCUUCAUUAUCAGUUUGGCUACCGUCGUAGCACGGAGGAAGAUUAAUAUAAUAACUCGGAGGAUGAGGACGAAGACGAACACGGCCAGAAUGACCUCCUCCUUCUGGAUAAGGGUCUUCCUCACCAGUUUGGCCACUGCCGUAGCACGGAGGAGGAAAAGGAGGAUCAGGAAGAACACGAACACAGCCAGAAUGACCUCCUCCUCCUAUUGGAAGAGGGUCAAGGCUAAUACCUCCGCCAAUAAAAAGAUUGGGUUUGGUUACGUUACUGGAAUCUGUGGCCUCACCCCUUAUAAGCUUGCUUACAGCGUCCUCUUUUUCAUGGUGAUCAACCUCACCGUGCUGAUCAUGGACACUGAGUUCAUGAUCAUUUUUUCUGGUAUUAUGUGGGUCGCGACCAUCAGGCUCGCUUUCGUUGUGGACUGGAACUGCAGUCUGUCUGUUUAGGGCAACUGUUUCCUUAGCCUCUGUCGUGUCAGAAACAAGAUAUCUAUGACUAUGAGCAGUGGAGACUCCUGCCAAAGUUAGUGAAGCAAACAAAGCUACGUAAACCCAUGUGGCUGCCAUUUUCAAGGCUUUGGUGCUUUGGUAGAUGUGGAUGGCUCUGCUAUGAACAUGCGAUGAUUUAUAUAGUGAAAA